GGACAAGCGGUUUCGUCGGUAUAUUUAUUCCCAGGUCAAGGGAACUCCAUUUCUUAAACUCGAAGGUCAAGAAGUCAAUGAGAUCCGGUUGUUCAGGAGCAAUCGAAAUCCUCGAAACGGAGACUUGUUCGCCGAUCUGGCGACCAGAUAAAUGUAUACGGGAGUGUAUGUCACCGGUCGUAUACGAGCGUCGAGGAGUCGAUUUAUGGAGACGAGUCCGGAUAAGUACCACUCCGUCGUUCUCUAAUAAUCGUCCAGGCGAGCGGCGAUCGCGCGAGGAUUCUGACUGCCUUGAUACGCUAAUGAACUUUAAUCGGCCCCUAACGAUUUAAUCACACGGUAUAUUUCACGAUCUGUCGCAGCGGGGAGAACGUUGAUUCGAUAACAUCGGACAUCGCCGUGAUCGUUUCUCUCGGUUUAUGGCGAUUCGUGGUAUGAAAAUAACUGGUCGAUACCGCGUUAAAUUGUUUCUCAAGCCUCUAAGUCGUGAUAACAUCAUUCAUUGAGACUUUUAGAUAGGUAUUCCAAUAGCUACAUCCUUCCUGCGUAUUUAGACUCUUGAGUUAUAAAAACAAUGAAGUGUGGAGAUGACGACUGAAUUUCGAAUGGUAGCCAGGUAAAUGUUAGGUUGUGACAUGUAAAGGAGUUUCUUUCGAGACUAUCGUUAUUUUAGGGUAAUUAAUAUAAGUAUUUGAUGAAUUUUAAACGAAUAAUGUUGGUAACAUGAAGUUUGGAUUGAAGUUAUUUGUCACACACCUAACAGUAAAUUUAAUUAUUUUUAAGGGUCGAUUUCAUAUAGUAAUAUGAGUGAAUGCAGGUGUACAAAAUUUUAUCCAUGUUAUAAUGAUUCGCAUCAGGUACAUGUAAUUAGAAAUAGCUCACUAAUUAUUGACAGCAAGGUUACAUUCUGUCACCUAUAUAAAUACUUGAUCAAUUUUAAACGAAUAAUGUUGGUAACAUGAAGUUUGGAUUGAAGUUAUUUGGGAAAAGAAUGAACAAUAACGAAACGUACUGUUAGAAGUCCAACAUGUGGGCUACUGUAAGUGCAUGGGACAAACAACAUGCCAGAAUGCGAUACUAACCCACAUGUCACACACCUAACAGUAAAUUUGAUUAUUCUUAAGGUUCGAUUUCACAUAGUAGUAUGAAUAAAUGCAGUAUUCGUGUUGUAAAAGUAUAUUAUAUUUACGUUAGAGGUGUACAAAAUUUCGUGCAUGUUAUAUUGAUUCGCAUCAGGUACAUGCAAUUAGAAAUAGCUCGCUAAUUAUUGACAGCAAGGUUACAUUCUGUCACCUAAAAGUGCUUUUCACUGAAGAACGAAAAAAAUUAAUUCUGGAAGUUGAGUGCCAAAAAAAUGUUUGAUCAUGCAGUUUUCAAUAGUCGAAACAAAAUGUAAUCACAGUAGAAAUGUUCAAGACUACUAGUCUGCCAUUCACGUAUUGAAAUAUUGAAGCUUAAUAAUGAGGGUAAGUUGAUAACACACACAGUCAUGUAAAAAAAGCAAUAAACACAUCACAAGAAAUAAUUGAUUCAUCCUUUACAUUAAUUAUUAUUAUUAUAACCACACCUCCUUUAAUCAAACUAAAAUAAUAUUGAAUAAGCUUGCAAAAACAAAUUAAAAAAUUUAUCACACAUUUAUCCUGUGACACAGGUACUCAAUCCUCAUCAACCGCGAACAUUAAAGGUGCGCAUAAUUUUCCUCUCCCUGUCGACCUUUCGAUCAAAGUAUCACGAAACACCUCAGUCGCAAUAGACACAUUUUGUCUAUUUAAUUCGUGGCAUCAAAAUUUCCUUUUCGUUUUAGAUCGAACGCCUUCGAAAAUGUUGCAAAUCGCCGGCGCAACUUAAAAUAUACGCCAAACGUUUAAAACUCCAUCGUCCCUCUAAACCCCUUAAUUUCACCGAUUAUUUCGUCGGAGCCCGUGAAGCAAUUGGCCCGCAAUAAAAAUACGCCCGAGCUGAAAACGGGGAGACAAAAAUCGCGGUGCAUCUCGCCCGCGAGUGGAUCCGCUAUUUGCGCAGCUGUUCAAACGGGCCGUAUCGCGAAAAUACUGCCUCGUCAUUCGUUUUUAAAAUACCCGGAGUCACGAGUGGCGUGCAUGUAUCCCGUCGGUCGCGCACGUCCGCGGUCCGUACCGUCAUUAACGAGCGGAGAAACACUUUGUGACCUGUUUUCGUGGUGCGCGGCGGUUUGUUCUCGGCCCUCGGAGAUCUAGAGCACUAGCAGCUGCGCUUCGUACGGUCAACCAGUCGAAACCCAUUAAGUCCGAAGGAAUUACAGUGGUGUGCAAGACUCGCCGGACGUCACGUUUUACAGGAUACCGGGGAUUAAAAUAUCACGGGGGCAGUUUUCUCUUUCCAAAGGGUUUCCCAAUAGGGAAAGCCUUCAGUUUAGGAGUCAUCCUAGUGUAAACGUUCAAAAACGGAAAUUUCUUUGGGAAUAUAAAAAAGGAAAUAAUAAAUGAUUUUUAUUCAUGGAUUUAAUAGUGGACGUCAUAAAGAGUAAACCAGAAUUUUGUUUUGUGUCAUUUUAUUAUUGAUAUUGUGAGGAAAUUGCUCUGGAAAGUAAUGCUGCGAAAAUGUCGAGAUGGUAACCAUGAUAUCUCACGAUCUGAAAUAAGAAAAGAAUUUUGUCUUAACCCUUUCCUUGUCCUAUGUCGAGUUACAUUUGGCAGAAUGGUACUGAAAUCAGAAAAUCUGGACUGUAAAAGGUUAACCCUCGGGAGGUGGCCCUCAGUCACCAUUAGGUUUCACGCAGCAAAUCUACAAUACCUAAUGUUUCUUUAGGUUUAAUUUCUUUGAGGCUCGAAGUGUCGAUAAAAUGAUUGUCGGGGAGGUAAAGGUGGCCUUAUUCUCAAAUCUAGAUAGCUUAGAACUCAUAGCAAUAGAAUGUUAAGAAACAUCUCGAGUUGCUGGUAGAUACCAGAGAAAAAGGCCACGAGUGCAAAGGGUUAAUAUCUAUUCAUGUAAUUAUCGUGUCCUAGUCGCUACACAAAUAAACUUAAGAGUUGUGAGGCUUUUUUUUUUUCUUGUGUUUUUUAUAGUUAAAUCCACCUCGUAGGGUUAUUAGCAACUACAUGAAUUUCUGGUAAGUCUAAAUUUGGGUGAAUAGUUUUGUUUGUUUAAGAAACAGAUUUUGUAGAGUUACUCCUCAUUGGAUUGGUCACCUCGAUUACUGCAGGAAUAUUCAGCCCGAUUCCCUGCAAUAAUCAAGGUUCCUUUACCAACUCGUCCUCAGCCUCUUAGUCUCGUUUAUGUCGCGAUUACUGGUAUUUUUUAGAAGAGUGUAGCAGAGAUGACGAGUAGUCCCCGCGAGACGGUCUUUUUGCGUUUGUAUCGAAGAGGACCAUACAUGAGUUUUGAACAGGUAGCUAAGUACCUGGAUCGAGCAAAGGAGCUCUCGAAGAAGUGGCUACAACGGUAUAACGAGGCAGAAAGUAUCCACGACCUCCCAAGUCGAGGUUCAAGGCAAAUCAAUAAACCUGAGUAGGAUAAAGCAAUCACUCGAGUUUUCGCUGAAAAUCA